AGGGAGUGCUGAUUGGUAAGUCCCUUUUGGUGGAAAACCCCUAUUUUCACUCUCUUAACCCCUAAGAAACCUUGAACUAUAAAUAGAGACCGUUGCAUACACUUUAACUCAUUCAAAAAACUAGGGGUGGCAAGACAAGGGUCAACCAUCAAGAGCUUCAAGGAAGAGGAUCUCCAUCCUCCUAUUGUUCUCUCUAAGGUAUGUUUUUCUAUUAUUUUGUAAUGAUGUCAGAUUCCAGGAGCGACUAAACCUCUUUGAGUAGGGCUUCACGAUGAACCCCUUCUUAUUUGUUGGAUUCUUUUAAUAAAGUUUUUAUCUAAUUUAUAAUCUAAAGUAUGAGUUAUUUGUAUAUAUCUGUUUCUAUACCACAUCCUAGAUUGAGCAAUGUUAGGAUUAACAACCCUCGCCUCUAAUCAACCAAGACAGAAGUGACUUGCUUGGUUUCUAAUAUAAUUGAAUCUUAGUAUGAAUUUAGGGCUAUAACUCAUCUUUAGGGACCCUCGUAAUUUGAAAGGCCGAAUUGAAGAGAAAGCUACGAAGGUGAGAAAAACAUAAGAAGGGGGUUGAAUUUUGUUUAGGAUAAGGAAAGUGGGCUUUUUGUAGCGAUCCGACUUGAAAACAAGUGGCAGGAAAAAUUUUCCUGUAGCGGGCACUAGCUAUGCCCAUAGUAGUAGCCUCACUUCCUCGGGUGGGAGCCAUGCCUAGCCAAGCGUGAGUCACACAAGACAGCCCAAAAUGUGCGAAUCCUUGAGUUUUUCUGCCAUUUUCGAUCAUUCUUCUAUUUGGAAACUCCUAGGAACUUGAAAUGAAUUUUCUUUAAAAACCUUUUAAGAACCAUUGACUUCAAUCUUCAUAUCCUUGAUCCUUCACGUGAUGUCUUGAUUUGUCGAUUUACAUGAUUUAUCACUAUUAAAAACUCAAAACACCUAUGGAAUUGCAUAAUCUAGGAUAAAAGUGAAUUACAACGACUAGAGUGAAAAAAAUACAAUAUGUUAAGUGUAUUAACAACUCAUAUAUCUCUCAUCUUAUUUGUAUGAAAAGAAAAGUACUAAAAACGUAGCCAAAAUGUCAUAUGAUGCUCUGUCAUCACAACCCCAAAUUAAAUUGUUGCUUGUCCUCAAGCUAGACAAUAGCAUGAAGUUAGAAUUCACAUGGACUAAAAUAGUAAAACAUAGCAUUCCGAAGAUUUUCUCAGAUUUUUAUUCCUCUCACUAUCAGACUUGACUAACUUACCACUGAAGGUGAGAAAAAAACAAGAUGAGUGGUUGAAUUGUGUUGACUUUUUGUGGUUUCUUUUUGUGAGUAUUGAUACUAGUCAGAUUUUGAAGGGUUCAAAUUAUGACAUAGAGUCUAAGUGCAGUGGAUAAUACAUAACACAAAUCAGAGUGAAGGUGAGAAAAACACAAGAAGGGGUUUGAAUUGUGUUAGCUUUUCUUCUUUUGAACUAAGUCCAAAGUUCAGAUUCUGAUAGAGUUCAAAGUCUGAAGUAGAGUUCAGAGUUAAGUGCAGCAGAUAAUAAAGAGAUUGUUAGACAGAUAGAUAUAUAUAUAUAUAUAUAUAUAUAUAGAGAGAGAGAGAGAGAGACAAACAGUUAUCCUGGUUUCUUCCAUAAUCCGUAAAUAGUCCAGUCCCCUGUCACUUACAGAAGUCUUUUCGCUAUAAUCACACAAGAUUACAAUUGGUUAAGCACACAAGCAAGAGACUUCAUAUGCUCAAGUACACAAGCAAGAGACUUCACAUGCUCAAGCACACAAGCAAGAAACUUAUAACAAACAAGAAUUACAAGGAAAUAAUUGUUUAGUUGAACACUUGAUAUACAAUAAGUGGUGUUCACAAUAGAAAAUAUGUCAGACUCUAUACUUAAGAAUUUCUAAGAUUUGAAAGUUUAUAAGAAAUUCUAAGUGUUUAAUGCUUAAAGAAUUUUGACAGAGUUUUGACACUUGUAAAAUAUUACAGAGUCUCUGCAUAUCUUCAAAUCUUCAUUCCUUUAUAUAGAGGUAGGAAAAAGACGUUGUAGAGGCGCCAGCACAUCAAAGAGUCGUUAGAGAGGAUUGAUCAAUCAACAUUGAUUUGUCGCUUGAUUUGGUUGAUGUCCUAUGAAGGAAUAAUUUGAAAACCAUUCCUUGAUAGGGAAUUAACCGUUCCAAUCCAGUAGAGACACAAUUGUAGCUUGUACUAUGCACAUGAAGAUGUUGGAUUAGUGGUGGUAAUGGUUGUACAAUUGUACUAUUUGUCCUUCAAUGUUCUUUCUCUGAGAAUAAGCAUCCAAAGCUUUCUAAUUCUUCAGAACUAUCAUUGCGCCAGUCUUUUAUAUCCUUCUGCAUCUUUGUCUCUUCUAAUAACUGUUGAAACUAACAUCAGGGUCUACACUUUAGCUUUUGAGUGAUCUUCAGACUCUCAACAUUUAGCUUCUGGAUGACCUUCAGACUUUGACUUCUUCAGACUCUCGGUUUCAACUUGGCUACUCAUGAAAAUUCCUUUGCUCUAAAUUGUACUUCUAGAACAAAUACUUUGUUUUAAGACUUAUAAAUUUUAGUCUAAGGUCCUGCACACUUGAACAGAUAUUAGCAUAUCCAAUUGAACUUUUAAUACCUUGUUAUCAUCAAAACUCAAGAGGCAUUGUUUAAACUUAUUUUCUUCCAACAAUCUCCCCAUUUUUUUAUGAUGACAAACACAAGUAUUAAUAGUCAAUUGUUGUUAAUCUAAUUAACAAGUUGACUUUAGGGUCUGAGGUUUGAAAGCUCCCCUAAGUCUUAUAGUUUGUAAGGUGAGUUUUGUAAGCUCCCCCUGAGUUCUAUCCAAAUUAAUUAAAUCUAUUUUAAGUUCAAAGAUAAUUAAAUAACUCAUCACUUAAAAUUAAAUCACAUUACAAUCCAGAGGCUAAGAGAGAAGAUGGUUCCUAAGUCAAGUUUAAAGUUAACUUAGUGGACUCAGAGCCUGGAUGCUAUUAUGUCUUACUCCUCCUUUUGUCAUCAACAAAAAUUAUUGAAAAGAGUAAGAAAAGAUUGGAUAAAAAUAUGAGAAUAUAAACAUCAGAAGCACAUAGUGAAUUAGAGCUAGAUAAACAUUCAGAAGCACAUAGUAUAUCAAAAACAAAAAAUAUUCAGAGGCAGUUAAAAAUAUCAGAAGCAAGGCAAAAAUUAAUAGGGUGUGCAACUAUGUUUCUAAGGUUGUUGUUGCUUCUUCAUCAUUUCCAAGAUAACAUCUAUUUCAUCAUUGGUUUGAUCUUGCUUCUUUUCCAGUUCUACUUGCUCCUUAGCUAACGUGACUUCCAUUAGUUGAGCUUUCACAGCUUCUGUACUCAACUUUUGUUCCUUCAUAUCAACUUGCAUAUGAUCUUGAAAAAGAACUACUUCAGGAUUUUGACUCUUAAGAAUUACUUGUUUAGGAUUUGUAAAGAACUUCGAGAGCCAAGACCCUUGUAGUCCAGAUUUUACAAUCUCUAGAACUUUUGUAGCUUCUGACACUUCAACAUUAUCAGACUCUUUUACUAGCUCAGAGUAUAUAAUUUGUCUUGGUAUAUUGGUCUUUACUUAAAAAAUUUCCAUGCUCUUGUAGACUUUGAAAACCUUUUCUUGAGUACUUCUUGCUGAGAAGCCAUUGCAAUGGUUUGAAGAUUGUCCAAUGUAUUGUCCACAAGCUUUCUCAGACUAUUCCAUGUAUCAAUAUAGUUGAGAAGAUGUAUGGCUUGAUGUCUAGCUUCAACUAGUUCUAGAAGACUAUCAAAUAUCUCUUGACACACUCCUUGGAGAACAAGGUUAGAUAUAAGGAUAAGAGGUGGGUUAAUGAAAGUUUGAGUUGGUAUUUCUUUGAUGACAACUUAUAGAAUAUUAUAUGAUAAUAUAUCCAUAGCUUGAGUGUCAUCAACAGAGGUCAAGGUUGUUUGAGUGGUGGUGAGAAGUUGUGUUCCAGGUUAAAUAACAUCUUAUGAUGCCUCAAGCAUGAGAACAUCAGAAUCUGUUUGGUUCGUUUCUAAUUUGGCAAAGUGUAGGGGUAUGGCUAUGAUGGGUUUGUCUUUUGAUACUUAUGAUGUAUCAAACACUGUGUGAGUGGAUGUAAUGGAGGGUGGUUCAGAUUCUAUUGUGGUUGUUGUUGUUGUUUGCGGUUCUGAUACAACUUGUGCAGUUGUUGUAUCAGUGGCUUUCUGUGGGAGUGAGGGUUGAUGUUGAGUUUCUGAAACAAUUGGUUCAGUUAUUGUUUCAGGGGCUAUUUGUGUAGUUUGGGUUGGUAUUUGUUUAGAUAGUUCACCACCCAAAUUCUGAGAAAGUACAUCUAUAUUGGAUGAUGAACUUUGGUUUGGUAAGAUAUAGGUUGAUAUACCAAAGGCCAUCUAAGCUUCAGAAGUUGUCUUAGUGACGACGGUGAGACAUACACUAUUUUUAGAGUCACUUUUAGUUAAGUUUUUAGUUUAUUUUAAUUAAUUUAAUUUAGAGUCUUUUUUAAUGUAUUGAGUCAAGUGGAUUAUCAUUAGUUGUUAUUAUUUAAAGAGAAGCAAUAUGGAGGGCUGAACAGCAAAAAGAACGUGGCUAAACAUUGGCCCAAUAGAAAAUUCCUUAAGAUCAUUUGGUUUUGAUUUGGAUAGUCACGUUGGCAAACAAGUGGAAGGCAACUAGGACACAAGGAAGCAUUGUAAAACGGGCGCUACACAUAAAAAGAAGGGCAUCACGUUUUGGGAGAGGAGAACACGCACAAAGGCAUCACGCACAACAGUAUGUGCGAUUGAAGAGAGCAGCUACGGUAUGCACAACAACAACAUCAAUCGAGAAUAAAUUCAGGAGCAACGUCGGCAACUAGGAAACUCUCGG
rnacentral:lncRNA from 1 species